GCCCGGGUGGCGAAACUGGUAGACGCAUGGGACUUAAAAUCCCCCGGCCGCAAGGCCAUGUGGGUUCGACUCCCACCCCGGGCACCA
rnacentral:tRNA from 1 species